rnacentral:rRNA from 1 species
CCUACGGGAGGCAGCAGUGGGGAAUAUUGCACAAUGAGGGAAACCUUGAUGCAGCAACGCCGCGUGAGUGAUGAAGUAUUUCGGUUUGUAAAGCUCUAUCAGCAGGGAAGAAGAAAGACGGUACCUGACUAAGAAGCCCCGGCUAACUACGUGCCAGGAGCCGCGGUAAGACGUAGGGGGCCAGCGGUAUCCGGAUUUACUGGGUGUAAAGGGGUCGCAGGCGGCGAUGCAAGACAGGUGGGAAAGCCCGGGGCCCAACCCCGGGACUGCUCUUGGUACUGCGUGGCUAGAGUGCAGGAGGGGCAGGCGGAAUUCCUGGUGUAGCGGUGAAAUGCGUAGAUAUCAGGAGGAACACCGGUGGCGAAGGCGGCCUGCUGGACUGCAACUGACGUUGAGGGACGAAAGCGUGGGGAGCAAACAGGAUUAGAUACCCCAGUAGUC